rnacentral:rRNA from 1 species
AGUCGCGUGAGAGGAAGAAGGAUCUAUGGUUCGUAAACUUCUUUUGCAGGGGAAUAAAGUGCAGGACGUGUCCUGUUUUGUAUGUACCCUGAGAAUAAGGAUCGGCUAACUCCGUGCCAGCAGCCGCGGUAAUACGGAGGAUCCGAGCGUUAUCCGGAUUUAUUGGGUUUAAAGGGUGCGUAGGUGGUUUGAUAAGUCAGCGGUGAAAGUUUGCAGCUUAACUGUAAAAAUGCCGUUGAAACUGUCGGACUUGAGUGUAAAUGAGGUAGGCGGAAUGCGUGGUGUAGCGGUGAAAUGCAUAGAUAUCACGCAGAACUCCGAUUGCGAAGGCAGCUUACUAAGCUACAACUGACACUGAAGCACGAAAGCGUGGGGAUCAAACAGGAUUAGAUACCCUGGUAGUCCACGCAGUAAACGAUGAUUACUAGNUGUUUUGGAUCSCCCGCCGC